UUUCCUCAUCUAUCACAGUUGAAGGGUUUCUGGUCCGUCAUACACCACUUCAAAUACUCAGGGCAGUGAGAGAAUUCAGCUGAAGCCUUCUACGGAUACACAGGUGCCUUCAGGUGCCUGGUGGAAGGAGGUGGUGAUGUGGCCUUCGUCAAACACACAACUGUAGGCGAAAACACAAAUGACAACAAUCAGGCGCAGUGGGCGAAGAAUCUACGAGCAUUGGACUUCAAGUUGCUGUGUAAGAAAACUGGGACAGCUGAUGUGGUCGACUACAACGCCUGCCACCUAGCACGUGUCCCGGCCCACAAGGUAUUGGCCGGUCCCCACUCUAAUGGUACCAUGCUUGAAGAGAUUCGGAUCCUAUUCUUAGGGCGUCAGAACAGCUACCAAGGGACAGGAUAUUUUCACCUUCGGCCCAUUCCAGGGUAGAAAGGAUCUUAUUUUCAAGGAUUCUGCCACCGAGUUGGUAAAUGUACGAGAGGACGAAUUCCACAAGACACUGGGGAGCUCCUACUACCGUGCUCCUUACUGAGCUCAGUGCCUGUAUUCUAAAGAGUCACAACAACACUAUACAAUGAAGGAGAGCGCCUCUACUCUUCAUGACCCAUCUGUUUCUACCUGCUCUUGUGUACAACUCUUAUCUGGCUUCUGUCGUGCUAAUUAUAUCGCUGUUGUUGUUGUUGUUGUAGUUUAAGAUAAUGUUGCGGGGGGUGAUUAAAGCCCUAGAUAUUAAGGCCACACCAUAAAUCAAUAAUCAAAACAUUGAACAAGAAAGCCUCAUCUCUUGGCAUUUACCCAUAAAAUGUUAAUAGUAAACAAACGCCUAUGGAAAACUUUAUCCUCUUUGCCACAUUGGUGUUUGUGUCUUGUCUACAUUAUCUAAUCCUUGCUGCUGGUAAAGUAGUAUAUUUGGGACCAAUUGUUUACUGUAUGUGUGUUAUAAUUCAUUACCAUCCCCAGCAAUAUUGUUUGUGUUUGUCAUUCUUAGUUAGUGAGUGCUUCGUAAUCUAUAUGCACAGUCCCUUCAAUAGUGUGUUUACAGGGGGUCAAUAUAUAAACAUUUCACAAAUCAUUACACUGAGAUAUUUGUUUU